GCUUUCUAGCGUCCUCAACAUUGGAACAGUGCUUGUCGGCGUUCUAUGACGUAGCGUCCUUAAAAGGGAGGCCGUUGAGCAUGCUUCCUUGACAUUGGGAAACAGCCACAAUGUCUGAGUGUGAAGGACCUCAAUGUUCCUGGCUGAGUGAGGGAUCAGUUUGUUGUCUGCGGCCGGGAGGACCUGGUCUACAAGGCUUCAUUGCGGAGCCUGAAAACCAGCAAAGAACUUCAGAGAGGAGACAAAUAGAGACCUGCAUACAGAUGAGGAAAGUGUGGAAGAGAAACCAUUCCCUUUUCAUUAUCUAAUAUAUAUAUUUGGAGUCUCAAAGUAGAGAGAUGAUAGAGGAAUGAAUGAUAGUAGAGGGAUAGAUUGAUAUGGUGAUAGUUGAGUGAUAGAUUGGUGGAGAAGUGAUGUAGGGAUUGAAUAACAGAGAAGUGAUUGUGGAGUGAUCCAGUGAUAGUAGCGUGAUUUUGUGAUAUAGGAGUGAUUUUGUGAUAUAGUGAUAGUUGAUUGAUGGAGGGAUAGUAGAGUGACACAUUGAUUGUAGAGCAAUUGGAGAAUGAUGUAGUGAAAAUAGAGCGAUUCAGUGAUAGUAGAGGGAUAUAGCAGUGAUAUAGUGUAAGGAGAGAGGGGUUAUAUGGGGAUACAGUGAGAUAGUAUAUUAGUGAUAGUAAAGGGAGAAAGUGGUAGUACAGUGAAAUAGUGCUAGUAGAUUGAUAGAUUGAUAGUGGCAUAUAGUGACAGUAGCGAUAGAGAGAUGGUGGAGUGAUUUUGGAUAGUAGAGUGAUAGAUAAGUGAGAUAGUGAUAGUUAUAGUAUAGUGAUAGAGGAGUGAGAUUAUAUUAGCGAUGAGUUGUGAGGAGGGGGUCGAGGUGGGAAGGUAUUUCCCAAAGCCACAUGUCUUCAGCAACAACAACAACAAACUUUCACCACACAAAGUGGGUCUGGACACCUCCCACUCCCAGUGCUGUCAACCUUUCUGCUGUGACUCCUCCUGUCAGACCAGGGGAAGGGAGGAGCAGUGGGCACCGGGGGGGCCUGGGGAGGGGAGAGGAAGGGUGGAGCUGGGAGGAGGUGGGCAGGGGAGACUAGGGGAGGAGCAGGCCCCAGGAGGCCCAGGGGAGAGGAGAAGAGAGGAGACGGAAGGAGGUGCAGGAGACUAUUUGGAUCUCCACUCCAGCUGCUCUUCCUCCUGCCGUCCAGAGGAGGAGGAGGAGGAGGAGGGCUACAGCGACUGGUCCGAGGAGGAUCUUUCUCUUCAUUUCUCCGCCUCCAUCAUCCUCCCCUCUGAUGAAGAGUCAGACAGAGAGACGGGGGAGACACAGAACAAAGAGAAGGAGGGGCCUCAGGCCAAGGGUGGGGUUGAUGUGUCAGCCAAUCAGUUGCUCAGUCAGUCAAAGUGUCAUCGCCCAGCAACGUUUCUCCGGCAACACAGCAUGCCUGCAUACUACCAGCGGAGAUUUGCAACCAGCGACGAGGAGGGGCCCAGGGGCUACCGGGGCCUGGUGACUGCAGGCAGGCCAGAACUCCUAGGACCAGGUAGGAACAGUAAACCAAGGCUCCAGAAGUCAUUUUCUUUGGACGAAACAAAAACCAAGUUGGCGUCCUGCAUAAUCAAGGAGGUUUUGUCCAAGAAAAUGCAAGGAGAAAGAGGACCAGCCAAGUAUGCCAGUAAUCUGAUCCCAAACCACCCUAACUGCCAAACCCCAGGCAACCAACCAAAGUUUAGGCAUGGAGUAGGAGGUACAAGCCUGGUUCAGGGUGGACCAGUCCAUAUUGUGAGGGAUAUCAAGAGUCAGGUUCAAACAACGGGCCGCCUCUCCUUCACCAACACUUCCUCCGCUGCAACCACGACACACCACCGCGCUACUGGCUGGAGCCAUGUGACAUACAAGGUGAUUGGCGCAGAGGAUAGCCCCCCCCCAAGCUACCAGCAGGCUGUGGGGGUCAAGGACACCAAGGAGGCCACAAAGAGUCAUCCAUUGACUUCCCAAAGUCACGCUACCGUGGCAACAGCUCUUCCCCAAUCACUGGAGAGACUUGAGGGCAGCAGGUUCCCUAACUGCAGCACUCCAAUCAGAAAACAAGCAGCAGCCAAUCAGACGUGUCAGCUGGGGCCUAUCACUGAGGGGGGGGGGCAGCGUUCCGGGAGGGUCAGGGGUUCGAUUCCCCAGCAGGGAUCAGCUGGGGAAUCUGGAAAAAUUGGUCGGCCUCCACUCCCUGUUUACAACUACACCCCCAUCCUCGGGACAGGGUACGCCCAACCUACGGGCCUCCCCGACACCCCCACUGUGGUCUCCUCUUCCUCUACCCAGCAGAAGGCUAGAGGAGGAAAGGAUCCUCCCGUUCAUACAGACGAUUACAAGGGCUUUAUCAGCACCUCCACCCAGAACACCUCCACCCAUAAGACCUCCACUCAGAACACCUCCACCCAGAACAUCUCCAACAAGUACACUUCAAUUCAGAACACCUCCACCCAGAACAUCUCCAACAAGUACACUUCAAUUCAGAACACCUCCAACCAGAACAUCUCCAACAAGUACACCUCAAUUCAGAACACCUUCAACCGGAAAACCUCCACCCAGAACACCUCCCCCCAGAAUACCUCCACCCAAAGCAUCUCCAACCACCAUGCCACCCACAAACUGGAUCAAACACAACUACACCACCAACAACUACAACAGCAUCAGCUGCUUCAGCAGCAGCAGUUCAUGUUUGCCCUGCAGGGGUUCUGGCCUGGAGGAGGUCUGGUUGGGUUGACGAAUGCAGGGCCUGUAUCCACAAUGCCGCCCACCCAACGCCAGGUCAAAACCCUGUUUGAUCCAGAAACAGGUCAAUAUGUGGAAGUCCUCCUCCCAUUGGCUAACUAUGCCACCGGGAUGAUACCUGUAGGCCCCUCCACCAGUAUGAUACCCGUAGGCCCCUCCGCCAGUAUGAUACCUGUAGGCUACGGCCCCAUUCAGUACGGCUCAGCCCAUAUGCAGGUUGGCUCCGCCCAUAGUAUGAUACCUGUCAGCUCUGCCCCCCUACAUGUAGGCUCCGCCCCCAGUUUGAUACCUGUAGGCUGUAGAGUGAUGUCGUACCAUCCCAUGCCUGUACUCGCCUCAUACUACCCCCCCUUUACUUUACACACACACCCUGGCCCGUAACACACAAACACACCCUGCCCUGUAACACAAACACACCCUGCCCCGUAACACACACAGACAUCCUCCCCUGUAACUCACACCCACACACACAGACUUUGCCCAUUACACACACACCAUACAGUUCCUUUAAUAGACACAUACCUUGUCCUGUAACAUAUACGCACAUAGACUGCCCCGUGAAAACACACUCACGCACACCCCCACACACACACACACACACACACACACACACACACACAGGCCAACACAAUAACACACCAACACACACACACAUCAACACACUGACUUUGAAAGAACGUAAAAAUAUUAAAAGUAUUAGUAUUCCUAUAAAUAGGGCAAGGCACUUACACAGGGUAUAAGGUUUGAUUCCCACUUGGGCCACUAAUGAGUGUUUAAAAAAAGCAUCUGUCAAAUGGCAGAUAUUAUUUUCUUCAUACAACAUUUUUUAAAAUAAUAAAUAUACAAUACAAAACAGGGUUGUAUCUGGUGCAUUAUUGUUUGUGGUUAGUCCUACAGGGUGGUCAGUCCUACAGGGGGGUUAGUCCUACAGGGGGUUAGUCCUACAGGGGGGUUAGUCCUACAGGGGG
ensembl:lncRNA